rnacentral:tRNA from 1 species
GCCCUUGUAGCUCAAUGGAUAGAGCAGCGCCGUCCUAAGGCGAGGAUGGGGGUUCGAUUCCCUCUGAGGGCA